AACGCGAAGAACCUUACCAGGGUUUGACAUGUAGUCGCACCACCCUGAAAAGGGUGUUCCUUCGGGACGACUACACAGGUGCUGCAUGGCUGUCGUCAGCUCGUGUCGUGAGAUGUUGGGUUAAGUCCCGCAACGAGCGCAACCCUUAUCCCUAGUUGCCAUCGGGUCAAGCCGGGCACUCUAGUGAAACCGCUCAGGAUAACUGGGAGGAAGGUGGGGAUGACGUCAAGUCCUCAUGGCCUUUAUGUCCAGGGCUACACACGUGCUACAAUGGUCGGUACAAACCGUCGCAAACCCGUGAGGGGGAGCUAAUCGGAAAAAGCCGGCCUCAGUUCGGAUUGGAGUCUGCAACCCGACUCCAUGAAGCUGGAAUCGCUAGUAAUCGCGGAUCAGAACGCCGCGGUGAAUACGUUCCCGGGCCUUGUACACACCGACUGUAC
rnacentral:rRNA from 1 species